AGUGAACGCCGGCGGUAGGCCUAACACAUGCAAGUAGAACGGCAGCACAGUAAGAGCUUGCUCUUACGGGUGGCGAGUGGCGGACGGGUGAGGAAUACAUCGGAAUCUACUUUUUCGUGGGGGAUAACGUAGGGAAACUUACGCUAAUACCGCAUACGACCUACGGGUGAAAGCAGGGGAUCUUCGGACCUUGCGCGAUUGAAUGAGCCGAUGUCGGAUUAGCUAGUUGGCGGGGUAAAGGCCCACCAAGGCGACGAUCCGUAGCUGGUCUGAGAGGAUGAUCAGCCACACUGGAAGUGAGACACGGUCCAGACUCCUACGGGAGGCAGCAGUGGGGAAUAUUGGACAAUGGGCGCAAGCCUGAUCCAGCCAUACCGCGUGGGUGAAGAAGGCCUUCGGGUUGUAAAGCCCUUUUGUUGGGAAAGAAAAGCAGCAGGUUAAUACCCCGCUGUUCUGACGGUACCCAAAGAAUAAGCACCGGCUAACUUCGUG
rnacentral:rRNA from 1 species